GCUGCUUCUUGGCCUUUUGGCUAAGAUCAAGAGUAGUAUCUGUUCUUAUCAGUUUAAUAUACAUCCUCUGUCCUCGGACAUUAUAUUAAAUGGAUUUUUGGAGCUGGGAGAUGGAAUAGGAGCUUGCUCUGUCCACUCUGCACAUCAACCCGGUAUUGCAGUAUUUCUGGGAACAGUGCACCCCCU